GUCAUUAACUACCGUACAUACGUGGCAUACUUCAGGAGAGAUGACACAUUUAUCUCUAUUUAUGUUAUGUUUCCUUUGUAGGUCACCUAGGGCUUUGCUCUGCCUCAUCCUCACUCUAGGACCCAGGCUGAGCGGGCAGCUGCUGUCUGAGCAUUGCUGAUUGCCAUGGCAGAGGGAAAGAAAAAAGAAAAAAAUUGCAAGCUAGGCCUAAAAACUUUGGUCCAGAUGUACAUGGUUAUCGAGAGCACACAGAGACAGAGAAGACCCCGCGAAGACAGCAGCAGAGCCUGGAGUGAUGCAGCUCAAGUUAAUGAAUGCCAAAGGCUGCCAGGCUAGGAAUGCAGGAUUCUUCUCAGGAGCCUUUGGAGAGGGCGUGGCCCUCAGAAUAGUGAGAGAAUAAACUUCUCUUGUUUUAAGCCUUCUGUUUAUGGUAAUUUGCUAUGGUCGUCCUAGGAAACUAACAUACCGGCCUGAGUGAGUCCCACUGCCAUACCCGAUUUCAACGGCACAGGGAAGGACAGUCUCACAGUGCUGGAUAGUCUCUCUCAGAUCCACCCUCUACCUUUCUAUACUCUGCUCUGAGCCUGGAAAGUUAAAAUCAAGAACUGCAUAAACAGACUCCCCUUUCCUCUGGCUCCUGGUUAAGAUUUGCCAAUAGUGGGAGUUCAGAGGGAGUGAGGAGAGUGAAGUCAUCUAGUUUGCCACCUACUUCCCUGCCAGGCUGGUUGUAGCGGUGUUCCACUAUGGAAGGCCACAGCUCCAGCCAGGCAGCUCCUCCUUCAGUUUCUCCUUUCUCUCGGGGUUCUAGUAACUUGUUUCUUCCCCAUGCUCCUCUAGGCGCGGGGUGCAACAGCUGUUGUUAGCCAAUGUGCUCUGUCAUUCCUAGUUGGUUUCCCAUUGCCCCACUCACAGCCUUGUAAACAGUCCUUUUAUUAAUCUCUUCUCAAUAACUUCAUUUGAGCAUGCCAUCUGUUUUCUGCUGAGACCCAGCAGACACACAUACCAUGCACCCAGGAGGAGCCUUAGAAAUCUUUGGUGGACACAGUAACGACCUUGCUAAAUUGAGAAGCAGCUCUAGUGAAACAAUCGUGGGAAAUGCAAUGAGAGUGGCAGGUCAAACGAUGGCUUUGCUUCCACCCCUCCCUCUCUGACAGAGGAAGAAGUGUGAGCUCUGAAGCAGGAUUCAAACUCUGGCUUCUCCGUUUAUCAGCUGUAAUAGGAACCUCUCUGAACCUCAGCUACUAUACGUGUAUCGUGGGUAUAACAAUGCUUCCUUUACAAGGCUGUUAUGUGGAUUAUGGGAGAAAAAUAUGAAAAGAACCUAGCUAUGAUAGGCAGAAUAAUGUCCCCCAAAGAUUUCCAAGCCCUAAUCUCUGGGAACUUGUGAAUACGUUACUUUACAUGGCAAAAGAGACAAUGUGGAUAUGAUUGAGAUUACAGACCUUAAAAUAGGAAGAUUAUCGUGGAUUAUCAAGGGGGCCCCAUCUAAUCACUUGAGCACUUAAAAGCAGAAGUGGAAGGCAGAAGAGUUUGUCAUAGAGACGCAGCACAAGAAGCAGAAACAGAAGAAAUCCAGGGUGAGAAGAAUUUAAUAUGCCAUUCCUAGCUCUGGGUGUGCAGAGACUACCUACAAUGACUCAAAAGAGACCUCUAAAUACCAAGGGAGAUGCCCAGAUGGCAACCAGCAAGGAAACAGACCUCAAUCCUACAGACAGUGAUUUCUGCCCACUACCUGGAUUAACCUGGAAAUGGACUCUCCCCUAGAGCCUCCGGAAGGGAAAGCGGCUCAGCGAAUGCCUUGAUGUCAGUAUUGUGAGACUUGAAACAGAGAAACCAGCUGAGCCUACUGGACUUCUGACCUACAGAACUGUGAGAUAAUAAAUGGGUGCUGUUUUAAGCCCCUAAAUUUGUA